CUUCUUCUAACUUCUUCAACUCUGCUUCACGCCUGAAAGAAAGGCGGGUUAAAUGCCCAUCAUAGAGCCAACAUCUCAUUCAGGAGGUCAGAAACAACAAAAUCAAGAGACCAAAAUCCAAAGCUUAGAGCCCAAGAAGUUGGUAUGUUUAACAUUGCACCAAUAGCUAGGCCAAGAAGACACUCAAAGAUUACAGCCAAGACAAUUAAAACAAAGAAUCAAAUGCACAAGGAAUUACGGUGGUUCGGGGACCCGGCAGCUUGGAAGUUUUAUUAAUGCAGGAGGAAUACAAGAUGAUCGUCCAAAUCAGAACCAAGAAAUAAAAGAAAGAAAGCGUCAAAAUUCCUCUCUAAUUGCACCAGAUUCCUGUUUAUUAUUCUGUUAGAGAGCCAACUACCGUAAGUUAACUCAUAUUUUGUUUGUUUCAACUGCUUAUAUAAACCAUGUUUUGUCAUAUUCAAGACAGUUUUCAAGUAUUUCAAUAUGUAACCGCCUACGGUAUGAAUCUAAGAAGCAAUUCGAAUUUAGAAUUAAGACA